AACGAACGCUGGCGGCAUGCCUAACACAUGCAAGUCGAACGAGACCUUCGGGUCUAGUGGCGCACGGGUGCGUAACGUGUGGGAACCUGCCCUUAGGUUCGGAAUAACUCCCCGAAAGGGGUGCUAAUACCGGAUAAUGUCUUCGGACCAAAGAUUUAUCGCCUUUGGAUGGGCCCGCGUUGGAUUAGCUAGUUGGUAGGGUAAAAGCCUGCCAAGGCGACGAUCCAUAGCUGGUCUGAGAGGAUGAUCAGCCACACUGGGACUGAGACACGGCCCAGACUCCUACGGGAGGCAGCAGUGGGGAAUAUUGGACAAUGGGCGAAAGCCUGAUCCAGCAAUGCCGCGUGAGUGAUGAAGGCCUUAGGGUUGUAAAGCUCUUUUACCCGGGAUGAUAAUGACAGUACCGGGAGAAUAAGCGCCGGCUAACUCCGUG
rnacentral:rRNA from 1 species